ensembl:lncRNA
GGCCAAGAGAUUUAAAAUUUUUAUCUCAUUCGGUAACAGUUCCAGAGGAUCUUAAACAUUCACAAAAAAUAGGAUGAGUGAUAUUUCGUUGCUGUUGUUGCUUUUCUCUCCCGGUGGGGGCGUGGGGGGGGGGGGGUUGGAGUGUUCUUUUUUUAUGUAUCGCCACCUAGUGGUGAAAAGAAUGGACGCAUGCACACACAGACAGGAAGUGAGUUCACAGGACCAUGUGUGGAGUUUAAACUGCAUUCAGCACCAUCUCUAGAGUCCAUCCCAAGCUCUCACCACUCUGUCCAGCUCGGGUUAUCCACAGCCACAGGAGCCUCUCAUAAAAGUUCCCUCAAAGUUGUGUUUCUUUUGGAAUUCUUUCCUUUAAUUCCUGCUCCUUACUUUUGUAUAUUUUGAGGAGACAUGAACAGGAAAUGCACUGCAUGGCACAAUAAAUAAAUCAAUAAAUCAAUCAAUCAAUAAAUCAAUAAAUAAAUCCUAUUCAUUGCAUAACUGUCUUCUUUGUUUGUUUUUUUUUGUUUGUUUGUUUUUUGCUGUUGUUUUUGGUGUAACAAACAAUUGGUAAAAUACAAACCAGCAGCUGUCCAGAAGUACACGUGUGAAAGGUCAAGGUUUUAGUCUAACAGAUUCUAAAUUAGCAUAAAUUAACAAUUUAACCCGCCAAAAACGAAUUAAACAGGACUUCUCAAUAACCACGUAUAAACAAACACAAGUCACUUAAAUCAUCUUAACAAGAAUGUUGACAUCUUCCAACACAAAUCAAAGGGACGUGGCUCCAGUGUGGUCAAAAAGUUUUACCAUAAAAUCUUUGUGAUCAGCGCCCCCAGGUGUCUGAUGGUGUGCUUAGCGCUUUUCUUUUUCUAUACGCAGGGCUUCUCAAACCUUUUGCAGCCAGGGACACUGCAAAAUAACUUCCACGGACCUGCACCAGGACACAAUUUAACUACUUUCAAUAUCAUACUCGUUAUUUAAGCGUACACACUAAUAUUUCUGAUACUGUAGCCAUAAAGCUUUUUAUUCCUGAUCUUCACCCACAGAACAUGUUUUUAAUCAAAUUGCAGAUUCAAGUAAACAUAAUUUAGAAGUUAUGUGUUUGAGUCAUGUGACCAGUCCAUGUGAACAGGCUAAUAAUUAUUAUUAUUUAAAUUAUAAUAAUGUUUAUAAUGCUGCACCACUGUAAUUAAAGGCCCUUGUUGCUCCCCAGACCACUUGGACUACCACAACUGAGGACGUUAGGGGUUUAAUUUUGGAUUUUGAAGUGGCACGGAGACUUUCAGGUAUCAAACUGAGUUACAGAAAGGAAAAACAGGGUUUUUAAAGGUGCAUCUGGGAAACGGGACUGCGUGCUUCAGUCCUGUGAGGGAAGGCUGCAUUCUGACGAAUAAACACAGUUCCCCGAGACGAGACUGACAAAUCAAAGACAGUUCCCGUCUACAGAUCCUCUGUCUG